rnacentral:rRNA from 1 species
GAGUUUGAUCCUGGCUCAGGAUGAACGCUGGCGGCGUGCCUAACACAUGCAAGUCGAGCGAGGACUUCGGUCCUAGCGGCGGACGGGUGAGUAACGCGUGGGUAAUCUGCCUCAUACACACGGAUAACAUACCGAAAGGUAUGCUAAUACGAGAUAAUAUUAAGAAAUGGCAUCAUUUCUUAAUCAAAGAAUUUCGGUAUGAGAUGAGCCCGCGUCCCAUUAGCUAGUUGGUAAGGUAAAAGCUUACCAAGGCGACGAUGGGUAGCCGACCUGAGAGGGUGAUCGGCCACACUGGAACUGAGACACGGUCCAGACUCCUACGGGAGGCAGCAGUGGGGAAUAUUGCACAAUGGGCGAAAGCCUGAUGCAGCAACGCCGCGUGAGCGAUGAAGGUCUUCGGAUCGUAAAGCUCUGUCCUCAAGGAAGAAUUUUGACGGUACUUGAGGAGGAAGCCCCGGCUAACUACGUGCCAGCAGCCGCGGUAAUACGUAGGGGGCUAGCGUUAUCCGGAAUUAUUGGGCGUAAAGGGUGCGUAGGCGGUCCUACAAGUCAGAGGUGAAAGGCUACGGCUCAACCGUAGUAAGCCUUUGAAACUGUAGGACUUGAGUGCAGGAGAGGAGAGUGGAAUUCCCAGUGUAGCGGUGAAAUGCGUAGAUAUUGGGAGGAACACCAGUUGCGAAGGCGGCUCUCUGGACUGUAACUGACGCUGAGGCACGAAAGCGUGGGGAGCGAACAGGAUUAGAUACCCUGGUAGUCCACGCCGUAAACGAUGAGUACUAGGUGUCGGGGGUUACCCCCCUCGGUGCCGCAGCUAACGCAUUAAGUACUCCGCCUGGGAAGUACGCUCGCAAGAGUGAAACUCAAAGGAAUUGACGG